AGAAGUCCGAUUCUAGCAGCGAAGGUAUUCAUAUUUCUUGUCGUUAUUCCAUUAGUUGUUAACAAAAUAUUAUAAGUUGAUGGUGCCUAGUACAAGCUACAUUAUGAUUCAUGUGAAAUUAGUAGUUCACAUUUUAGGGUGACAUAGGUGAUCUUGUUGGAUUCAGUAGAACGCUGUGAUUUACUAGUGGAAUGUUGGCCCUAAAGCAUUUUGUUGAAUUAGCCAAAAUAAGUAGUUUUCCAUGUCCAUAUUAGCAUUCCAUAUCGAGGUUCUGGUGCUAGAAAUAAUACGAAUGUGGAAAUUCACAUCAGUUAGUGAAUGACACAAUCCACAUAUUUAUAUAUGGAAAUCUUCAAG
rnacentral:misc_RNA from 1 species